rnacentral:rRNA from 1 species
AUACGUACCGUACAAACGUUAUUCGGAAUCACUGGGCUUAAAGGGUGCGUAGGCGGUGCGGUCAGUUGGGUGUGAAAUCCCUCGGCUCAACCGAGGAACUGCGCCCAAUACUGCCGCACUCGAGGGAGACAGAGGUAAGCGGAACUGAUGGUGGAGCGGUGAAAUGCGUUGAUAUCAUCAGGAACACCAGUAGCGAAGGCGGUUUCCUGGCCUUAUCCUGACACUGAGGUGCGAAAGCGUGGGUAGCAAACGGGAUUAGAAACCCGAGUAGUCC